rnacentral:tRNA from 1 species
CCCUGGUGGUUCAGAUGGUAAGGGGUCUGCCUGCAAUGCAGGAGACCCAGGUUCGAUCCCUGGGUCAGGAA